CACGGCGCACGGGUGCGUAACACGUGGGCAAUCUGCCCUCCGAUGGGGAAUACCCCCGCGAAAGCGGGACUAAUUCCGCAUAACAUUCCUUGGAUUAACUUUCGAGGAUUCAAAGCAGCAAUGCGUCGGAGGAGGAGCCCGCGCCCGAUUAGCUAGUUGGUGAGGUAACGGCUCACCAAGGCAAUGAUCGGUAGCUGGUCUGAGAGGAUGGCCAGCCACACUGGAACUGAGACACGGUCCAGACUCCUACGGGAGGCAGCAGUGGGGAAUCUUGCACAAUGGGCGAAAGCCUGAUGCAGCGACGCCGCGUGGGGGAUGAAGCUUUUCGGAGUGUAAACCCCUUUCGACUGGGACGAAUGCCUCGCAAGAGGAGUGACGGUACCAGUAUAAGAAGCCCCGGCUAACUACGUGCCAGCAGCCGCGGUAAGACGUAGGGGGCCAGCGUUGUUCGGAAUUACUGGGUGUAAAGGGUUCGUAGGCGGUGUGGCAAGUCGGGAGUGAAAUCUCUGGGCUCAACCCAGAGACUGCUUCCGA
rnacentral:rRNA from 1 species